AUUGAACGCUGGCGGCAGGCCUAACACAUGCAAGUCGAGCGAGCGGCGGACGGGUGAGUAAUGUAUGGGGACUGCCCGAUAGAGGGGGAUAACUACUGGAAACGGUAGCUAAUACCGCAUACUAUCGGAUAACCCAUAUGGGAUUAGCUAGUAGGUGAGGUAAUGGCUCACCUAGGCGACGAUCCCUAGCUGGUCUGAGAGGAUGAUCAGCCAAAGUGGGACUGUGACACGGCCCAGACUCCUACGGAGGCAGCGGUGGGGACUAGUGCAAAAUGGGCGCAAGCCUGCUGCAGCCAUGCCGGGUGGAUGAAGAGGGCCCUAGGGUUGUAAAGUACUUUCAGUCGGGAGGCGUUACCGACAGAAGAAGCACCGGCUAACUCCGUGCCAGCAGCCGCGGUAAUA
rnacentral:rRNA from 1 species